rnacentral:sRNA from 1 species
AGUCUGCGCAGGGAUUGGCGGGACUGCGCGGCGGCGACAACAGACAUGUCGGGGGUCAGGGGCCUGUCGCGGCUGCUGAGCGCUCGGCGCCUGGCGCUGGCCAAGGCGUGGCCAACAGUGUUGCAAACAGGAGCCCGAGGUUUUCACUUCACUGUUGAUGGGAACAAGAGGGCAUCCGCUAAAGUUUCAGAUUCCAUUUCUGCUCAGUAUCCAGUAGUGGAUCAUGAAUUUGAUGCAGUGGUGGUAGGCGCUGGAGGGGCAGGCUUGCGAGCUGCAUUUGGCCUUUCCGAGGCAGGGUUUAAUACAGCAUGUGUUACCAAGCUGUUUCCUACCAGGUCACACACUGUUGCAGCGCAGGUAAGAGAAAGGUGCCCCACUGUGCUCCGAGUCCGUGCAGGUCCUGCACAGCCUCACACUUUCUACCUGGGCAGCCUCCUGCCUCCUCCCCGUGCUCCAGCCAUAUGGCCUCUUGCUGUGCCUUGCUCACUCAGCUCACCCUCUCAGGGGUCUCUCCCUGGAGCCUCUUCCCUGAAGACUUUGAACGGUGGGAGCCUUGUUGUCACUCCUAAUUCAGACUCCAGUCACACUUGGGUUUUCUCUGACCAUCUCGCCUACUGCCCUCCCCACCCACCCCCGCCGCCCCAACACCUUAAGAAAAGGAGAUCACCUAAAGAGGAGGAAUC